GGUUCUCUGGGACAAUGCAAUAACUCAACUCCCGGAAAAGGUUUUCUUAGGACUCACAAAUCUAACAUCUCUGGAUCUCGAUGAAAACAAAAUACAGGAGCUACCACACAAGAUUUUCCAUGGGCUCACGGCUCUAACAACGUUGUAUCUCCAAAGCAAUGCAAUAACUCAACUCACUGGAAACAUUUUCUCAGGGCUCGGAAUUCUACGAAGGCUGU